rnacentral:misc_RNA from 1 species
UGGCUCUUGCAUCGAUGAAGAACGCAGCGAAAUGCGAUAAGUAAUGUGAAUUGCAGAAUUCAGUGAAUCAUCGAAUCUUUGAACGCAUCUUGCGCUCCUUGGUAUUCCGAGGAGCAUGCCUGUUUGAGUGUCAUCAAAAAUUCUCAACCAUGCUGGUCCUUUCUGGUCUGGUGUGGCUUGGAUUUGGGGCUUGCGGGCUUUUAACACAAGUCGGCUCCCCUGAAAAGGAUUAGCGGUAUCCGAGUACCUUGGGCGUGAUAAUUGUCUAUGCCCACUGGUAUGCAGGACCUGCUUCUAGCCGAAUGCUGUUGACAAAUUUGACCUCAAAUCAGGUAGGACUACCCGCUGA